rnacentral:rRNA from 1 species
UCCUACGGGGGGCAGCAGUGGGGAAUAUUGCGCAAUGGGCGAAAGCCUGACGCAGCGACGCCGCGUGAGGGAUGAAGGUCUUCGGAUCGUAAACCUCUGUCAGCAGGGAAGAAAGGUCACUGUGCUAAUCAGCAGUGAAUUGACGGUACCUGCAAAGGAAGCACCGGCUAACUCCGUGCCAGCAGCCGCGGUAAUACGGAGGGGGCGAGAGUUAAUCGGAAUUACUGGGCGUAAAGAGCUCGUAGGCGGUAUGUCAAGUCAAGGGUGAAAUACCCGCGCUCAAAGUGGG